rnacentral:lncRNA from 1 species
CGUUGGAGGACUUCUACUUUGGAGUCUUGUGGAGAUCUCAAGAUUAUCAGUUCAUAAUCUUCAUGUUGGUAUAUAGCUUCUGAUCUCUUCUUGUUAUAUAUGCUUUUGUGAUUUGAUUAUAAUCAUUAUAAGGUUCCUAGGGUUUUGUAUUCCGGUAGUCUAGUUUAAUUGUUUAUUUAAAAAAAUAAUUGGUUGAAAACCUAUCCAUAGGUGCAUAUGGGUUGAUCGAGCCAUCCUCGGGCCUGUAUGCAGUCUGUGUGGAUUCUAGUACCAGCUAAAAAAUUAAGGUAACUCC